rnacentral:rRNA from 1 species
UACGGAGGGUGCGAGCGUUACUCGGAAUUACUGGGCGUAAAGCGUGCGCAGGCGGUUUGUUAAGCGAGAUGUGAAAGCCCCGGGCUCAACCUGGGAACCGCAUUUCGAACUGGCAAACUAGAGUCUUGUAGAGGGGGGUAGAAUUCCAGGUGUAGCGGUGAAAUGCGUAGAGAUCUGGAGGAAUACCGGUGGCGAAGGCGGCCCCCUGGACAAAGACUGACGCUCAGGCACGAAAGCGUGGGGAGCAAACAGG